GAAAUCAUCUUUACGGAAUGUGGUGCUGAGAGACUACAUUUAUAAUUGGAGAUCCUGAACACCAAGCCCAUUUUUCUCAUCAAAACGGCUCCCAUUCCUCCAGUUACCGGGGCUGCUCUUAAGAACUGAUCCUAUCCAAAGAAAGAAAGGAUUUAUUUGUAGAAUUGGAGGUGUUUACUGGAAGAUGAUGAUAUGGCCAAGCCAAGGAAGGGAACCUACAGUGAAGAGUACAGGUGUCUCUGAUCUACAUAUCCAAGAACUGCAAGAAAAAUGUCCAGAUGGGCAUCAGAUACCUAGUCCAGUCCUUGGCAAAAGUCUGGGCUUUGGAAACCAAGGGCAAGAGGCGAUGACAACUAAUCUAUGGAACCCAUUCUCCAUAAACACUAUCCGCUUCUUUUUUCCGAUGUUGAGAUCCAGAUGAUACAGGGAAUUCUUUUGUUAAUGUUACCUGGCUUUUUGGUGGAGUUGGUUUUGCUGCAGCAAUCUAAAAAAUAAAGUGUUUCUUAAUUAAAGCUCAAUAUGAUAUCU
rnacentral:lncRNA from 1 species